UCAGGGCUGGAGAGAUGGCUCAGUGGUUAAGAACAACUUGUUGCUCAUCCAGAAGACCUGGGUUUGGUUCCCAACACCUACAGAGUGGCUCACAACCAUUCAAACCCCAGUUCCAGGGGAUCAGAUGCCCUCGUCUGGCCUCUGUGGGCACCAGGCAUGCAUUGGCACAUGCACACACGUAUACAGGCAAACACAUGCACACAGAACAAUUUUUAAAGCUGCAACCUUCAGUCUAGUCAGUGAAAUGAUUGCCCUGAAAGCACCAGGGUCUGCGUUUUGAUCGCCAGCGUCCGUGUAAAAAGUUGGACGUGGUGGCAUCCAUCCCAACAAUAAUCCCAAAGCUGAGGUGACAGACAAGAUCCCUAGGUUGGCUGGCUGGCCAGGGCAGCUGAAUCAGUGGGCUCACAGUUCAAUGAGAGACCCUGUGUCAGAAAUGAGUCAGAGAAUAGUCAAGGAAGACUCUCAGAGCUGACCUCUGGUCUCCACACACACACAGGCACACAGCACAUGCUCAUGACCACAUAUACACAUACAUACUGAUGAAAGAAGAAGAGAAGAAAGGGAAACAGUUGCUCAGUUCUUCUGGCCAUUUUCCCCCCUCUCACAUCAUCUUGUGGCAACUUAGAUCACAGCCUUUCUAGGUUUGGUUUUAAUCUAAAACACAGUUUCUGGGAAUUGAGAAGGCCGACCUUCCUCUGCCAGUCGCCCUGUAUGGAUGUAUUGUUCUGUCCAGCUCAACCCAUGGGACUCUCCUUUGCACCAGUCUUGCCUUCUCAAGGCUGAAAUAUGAUGCAAACUGAAGCCACACAAAGCAAGCCAGUGGAUCUGACCCGGAGUCAGGAAACCUGGACUCCAGAUCGAGGAAGCUGUGUGACCUUGGGCCAGUUAACUUUCUUGAGCUCUGGGUUUCUCUGCAGGCAGCUUACACAGUCCCUAGUGUGCAGGCCUUCAGACACUGACACAUAGCCCUUUGAACACCAUGUAAAUCUAAGAGGUAAUGUAUGUCGGGAACUUGGCUCUGAACCAUGUCAGCAUUGAGACCACGACAGAAGAAACUGGAAGAGGUGCUUUCUGCUGUUGAGUGGGGGUAGGGAUGGCGACUGAAAUGACCACUCUCGGUUCUAGGAACGGUGAGUGUCCUGAGCUGGUACCUAAUUUCUUCCCAACACACAAUUUCAGGCCCUAGAUAUCCCAUCCUUGAAGAGCCAGCCUGUCAUCCCACCUUUGAUACUCUGGUAUCCCCAGCCCAGAUACAGGGCUUCAAAAUGACCUGGCCACACAGACGAAACUUCGAUACCCGAGUCGGGCAACUGACCUCCUGGCAUUGCCAGUAUGUUUGCACUGAAGCCUGUUUUUGUAUUUUAAUAACAGAAUCCAUGAAAAGGACUCUUUAAAGGAAAAGAAAGCGAAGCAUCACAUUCCGGUCAUUUUGACAAAACAUUUGCUUUGUAACGUAUCUGAUGCGUUUGGCAACCACACACUCUCUUCCUGCCCAGAUCUGUUCUGAUUCCCUAUAAGGGCAGAUGGAUGUCCUACUACCCAAGGGACCUUCGCUGAAACAAGAUGGCCCUCCAUCCUGUGCCCUGGCCAUCAGGGAGGACACGGUUGCUCACCUGUGUUAGUCUUGUCACUGACCAAGUCCCCAAGAAAAGCUACUGUAAAGGAGGAGUGGCUUUGCCUCACGGCCUCUGGGUUUCUGUAGUUGUUCCUUCAUCCCUGAUGCUCUGGGAUGAAGAGAAGGCUGAAGCUUGUGGUGGCAGGAGUGUGUGGUAGAGGAGGCUGAUCCCUCAUGAUGUCUGGGAAACAGAAAUGGAGUGUUCACACUACAGGGCAGUAGCCUUCACUCAGGUUAUGGGAUGGUGCCACCACAUUCAGAGCCCUUUGUUCCCCCAUCCUAAUUGAUCAUCUCUGGAAAUGCCCUCAUAGACACAGCUAGAGCUGUGCUUUACAAAUCUCCUAGGCAUGUGUCAAUCCAAGUUGACCAUAAACAUUAACACCUCUCAGCCAGGCAGUGGUGGCACACACCUUUAGUCCCAGCACUUGGGAGGCAGAGGCACAUGGGUCUCUGUAAGUUUGAGGCCAGCCUGGUCUAAAUGGAGUUUUUAGGACAGCCAGGGCUGUUACACGGAGAAACCCCUGUCUCAAAAACAAAACAAAACAAG
rnacentral:lncRNA from 1 species